GAGCUCUUGUUCUCAACCUCAAUUGAGUGGAUUCGAUCAUGGAUGCAAUCCCAUCUGCUGCGGUGUCCGCUGCUGAGGAGGAGGUCAGGCUCAGGCUGCUCUCCUCUUUCAGCGAAGAUUGUCGGAGGCUGGAGACGACACUGACGAAGAGCCGGAUCCUGAUCGACAGGGCUGAGCGAUGGAGCUUCAAGGAUGCAAGGCUUGCCCAGCACCUCACACAGCUCAAGGAUGCCGCUUACGAUGCAGAAGACUUCCUCAACGACAUCGACUAUCAGGAUCAGCAGAAAAAGAUCCAGGCCCAGCAAAGCCAGGCAAGUCAAUUCCUUCAUAAUUCUCUUAACUAUUUACGUAAUCUGAUGAACGGUGCUGCAAAGACCAUGAAAACUAUCCACAGGAGGUUGGAUACGAUUGCUGCUGAUUUAGAAGGACUUAUGGGCCAACUCGGUUUACAUGGCGAUUAUAGUAUGCCGGCGAACCGACAGAUGGGCUGCUUAGUCAACGAACCAAUAGUGUAUGGUCGAGACGAGGAACGGGAGAAGGUGAUCGAGUUGUUGGGCGUUCCACGCGGGCAAAGCAAUAAUGAAAAUGACAGCGUAAGUGUAUCUGUCCCUACUAAGAGAAGAAAGAAAGAAAAUGUGUCUGUUCUUUCCAUUUAUGGCAUGGGAGGGGUCGGCAAGACUACUCUAGCACAGGUUGUCUACAAUGAUGAGAGGGUGGUGAAGGACUUUAACCUGAAAAUUUGGAUUUGUGUUUCUGACAACUUCGAUGUGAACAGCUUAAGUAAAGAGAUCAUAGAUAAUGCUGGGAAGGGGUAUGAGACUGAUCAUAUGAAUUUAAGUUCUCUUCAAGAGACUCUAAAGAAGAUAGUGAUGGCACAUUGCUUCUUGCUUAUCCUUGAUGAUGUGUGGAAUGAGGAUAGUAGGGAGUGGCAAAAAUUUUAUGCGCCUUUGAGCUAUGGGCAAGAAGGAAGUAUGAUCCUGGUGACAACUCGGACUUUGAAGGUUGCCAACAUAGCAGGAACAAUGGACCCCAUCUUCCUGGAGGGUUUAUCAGGUAAUGUUUAUUGGGAUUUCUUCAAGUCAUGCGCAUUUCGCUGUGAGAACCCUGAAGACUAUCCGGAGUUAGAAAAAAUAGGAAUAGACAUUGCUGCUAAGUUGAAGGGAUCUCCAUUAGCUGCAAAAACUCUGGGAGGCCUGUUGAAUGAGGACAUGGGUGCCGAACAUUGGACUACGAUUUUGAACAGUGAAUUAUGGGAACUACCGCAGAAGGAAGGCGACAUUCUUCCGGCCCUUCGAUUGAGCUAUUUGUAUCUUCUGCCACAUCUGAAGCGAUGCUUCUCAUUUUGUUCAAUAUUCCCAAAAGAUUAUGAGUUCGAUAAAAGUGAUCUAACUAGUAUUUGGGUAGCAGAGGGCUUUGUUAUACCUCAAGGAAACAUGCUACUAGAAGACAUAGCGACCAUGUACUUGCGCGACUUAACAAGCAGGUGCUUCCUUCAGCAAUCUCAUAGGGAUCCUCUAAACUGUGUAAUGCAUGAUUUGAUACACGAUCUAGCGCAAUUUGUUUCGGUAGAUGAAUGUUCAAGGAUAGAUAAAGGUAGAGGACAAAUUAGAAUCCCUAAAACUGUUCGACAUUUGUCGAUAUGCUGUACAAGUUUAGAAGAAAAGAAGUUAAUGGAGUUAGCGAGCUACGACAAACUGCGCUCGAUUAUAAUACUUUCUAAAUUUCGGCGUGGAUUAGAUUCUGUAAUUGAUUGCUGGUUCCGCGGGCUCGCAAAUAUCCGUUGUUUAAAACUUAGCUUCUGUAAGAUAACAGAGCUUCCUGAGAGUAUUAGCAACUUAAAUCAUCUCCGAUACCUUGAUGUAUCUGGUACAAGUAUCAGAUCUUUACCCAAUUCAUUGUGUUACCUCAACAAUCUGCAAGUGUUGAACGUAACGAAGUGCCGGCUUGGGUGUUUUCCUCAAGGAUUUACUAGACUUCAAAACUUGCGGAAACUUUACCCUAGAGAAGCUAUAAUUUCCAAGAUAAGUGAGAUUGGGAAGCUAACUUCUCUUCAAUAUUUGCCUCAGUUUGAAGUCCAACAGGAUGAUCAACACAAAAUUGGAGAACUAAAGCAUAUGGCACAGCUUCAUGGAUGCUUGCAUAUUAAGAACCUUGAAAAUGUAGAGAGCAAGGAAGAUGCUUGUGAAGCUGAGCUGGACAAUAAGCCGUACCUUGAUGAACUGAUUUUAGAAUGGUCUCGGAGAACAAGCAAUUCUCACCAUGAUAUGGAGGUGCUUGAAGGCCUUCAGCCACACCAAAAGCUUAAACAGCUGGAAAUCAGACACUAUGGUGGUACGACAUCUCCCAGUUGGCUACGACCUCAAACAUUAACCUGCUUAAGUAAACUCCACAUUGAAGAAUGCAGAAAACUUACCGAAUUACCGUGCCUCCCUCCUUCCCUUACGUCACUGGUGCUAGUAAAUGUUGGCCUGAAUUCACUUCCUAGAUUGUGGGAUGACCGCCAAGAUUCAACCAACGAAAGCAGCAGCAGCAGCAGCAGCAGCAGCAGCAGCAGCCACAGCAACAGGAGUUCUUCGCUAUGUAACUUACACAUUUCACGAUGCUUCAGCCUGACGAAUCUUGACGGGUGGCUGAUGCCACACUACUUGCCAUCCCUUGAGGCAUUCAGAGUCGAAUAUUGCAAAAAUUUGACUUCGCUUCCUCCUGACAACUUCAAGGAUUUUGUUUCUUUGAAGACAAUGAAAAUAAUAGCUUGUCCUAAGCUCACCUGCUGUAGGGAGCUGAUCUUACCCACCUCAAUUAAUGAGGUUGUUCUCCGUGACUGUGGUGAUUUGGAUCGAUCACUUCCUGGCUGCCUACAGAACCUUAAAUCUCUCACCCGUUUGGUGAUACAUCGUAGUCCAUACAUAACAUCCCUGCCGGAGCAAGUGAUGUGUCAACUCAAAUCACUUGAGAGUCUGUCUAUUGUGAAAUGUGAAGAGCUUAGCUCUUUAGGAGGAUUAGGUGUUCUUGCAUCUCUCAAAGAUAUCAGCAUUCGCUACUGUCCCAAACUUGCAGAUUCUGAGCCACCGAUGUUUGACUUCACCGAUGAAGUACAGAGGGCGGAGAUCUGUUUGUGCAUUGAUAGGACAACUCUUCUGAAGUUGCAAUCUUUGAGGAAUCUGGUACCCUUCAUUAGAGAACUCGAGAUGUUCUGUUCUUCAGAACCAGAAAUGUUUGUUGGAGAGGACAGAGAACUGUUGUGGUGGUUUAAGUCACUUAAACAUCUACGAUUUUCGUAUUGUGACAAACUUAAUUCGCUACCGACUGAGUUGCAUAGAUUGACUUCGCUUCAAAAGCUAUCCAUCCAAAACUGCUCUAAGAUCCACUUCUUGCCAGAGAAUGGCCUACCCCCCUCAUUGACGAAGUUAGACUUCCACGGUUGCAAUGAGGAGUUCACGCGACAGUUGAAGAUGUAUAAAUCGCUGAAGAACCUUUAACUGUCUAGAUUUUCAUGGCUUUUCAACAGGUACUUCUCAGACUCUCAGACAGCUAUUUCUUUCUAAAUUCUCUCCAUUUAUGCUGCUAGCUACGGAUGUUCAUUGUAAGUCAACUCACUAAAACAGAGUAGGGAUGCAGGAGUAUUUAAAUAGCAGCGCUUUCGUGUCGUUUUUUUGUGUCUUUUAGACAGUUCACAACUUUUUAGUAACCAACCGCACCCGGUGCAGGUGGCUAAGAGCUUGAUGGUUGAUAUCCGGAAUCCUAAGUUCAAAACAUAUUUGCUUCACAUGUGACCCCCUCGGCUAGAAGCCACUUUGAAAUGGCUAUCGCAACUCUAUUAAUUUUGAUUAACAUCCUUAAGUUUUGAUUUUUUUUUUUUUUUUUUUAAGAAUUACACCUAAUCAUCCACAUAAGCACCAACCUAAUCUAGAUAUCCAAUUAUUCCUAAAUCUCAUAUAAAUAUCUUACACAUCUCGUAUGAAGGAUAUUUUGAUGGUCAAAAUUGUUGUUGGUGAACUAUUUCUCAUGUGAGAAAUGUGAGUUUGUUAAUAUCAAAUUCCCUAAGACAGCUUAUACAGGACUAACUCAAAUGGUUGUUCUUUUUCUUUCUUUUUUCAAAUAAAAGGAAAGCCUAUAAGUUUUCAGAUUCCUAAAGUGACCAGCGAAGGAAGGUACCUGAGGAAGCAGAGGAAGAAGAUGAUGAUGAGGAGAGAGUCGAGUGACCGGCCAUUUUGGGGGAUCCACAAGCUUGAUUUCAACCAACAACCAUUUUUGAUUAAUAAUUGGGAGUCCAAUUCGUGAAAGUAAUUUUGCUGGGUAUUAUCAUAUUACGAUCAGGAAUGUUUCUACCAAAUUCACGAUUAUUUUAUAAAGAGUUUUUAUGAUGGUUUUAAUUAAACCUCUUAUAGUUCUAUCAGAAUACAAUAUGAUAAGACAUUUUAUGAUUUGUAUGAUUUGAUGACUCGAAAAGUAAGUUGCAAGCCGUAUAUUUGUAGGGCGAGGAUCCGUCAUGAAUUGUAAUUUAUACUAGUUUUUUUUUUUUUUUUUUUUUUUUUUUUUUUUUUUUUUUUUUUUUUUGAAGUGAAAAAUGUAAUUCUUGUAGCACAUUUUGAUGCAGAUAUCUCUCUGCAUUUUCUUUUUCCUUUUUUCUUUUUUUAAAUUGACAUUUUCUUUAACUUUCAAUUACUUCAAUUACUUUUAAUUUCAGUUAUUUCCACUAUAUCAAAACAAGAGUUUUAUUAACUCUCGCAUGUCAAUUAAUCAAUUUUGGAAUUAAUGCUCCUAUCAGUUUAAAACUCGACAAAGCUUUUAAAAUUUAAUAAAAUCGUCAUUAAAUUUAAUAAAAUUCCUAACAAACCAGACAUUGGCUGAAUAAAAUGUCCCCUCUCCCUACAUAAUGUGUAAUAGUGGCCAAGUUCAAAUUAAACACAUAAAUAAUGUAACAUACCACGUUCCUCGUGACCCGUGCCGAGUUCCGUCAAAACGAGCGGAACGCGGAGUGGAACGAGUUAGAUUGGACCCUAAGUGCAUUAGAGUCCAUAAAUGAAGCUAAAGGGACCCGAGAGAGCAAAUCUGAAAAUCUGGCUAAGUCCCAGAUUUUCAGCUCUCGGGGACCGGUCCCUGAAGGAGAGACCGGUCCCCGUACGCGUAGCCUGCCAAGAAUUCUGAGGCAUCCGGUCCCUGGUGGUGAGACCGGUCCUCGGGAGACCGGUCCCUGAGGGGGCAGAUCGGUCCUUCGCUGCGCAGCAGUUGAAAAACUCGAAAAUUUGGCUAAGUUCUUGAAACCCAUCGUUCGGGAAUCGGUCCUUGGUCGAGGAGACCGGUCCCCGAAGGCGAAAAAUGCCCAGUCUGGGCAGUUCAAUGGGAAACAAGUGGAGGGGUUUAAGUGCAAUUGUUACAACACUACAUAUGGCCCAACCCCUCUCUCCCACAGCCAUUUCUCUCCUCCUCUCUCAUUUUCUCUCUUUCUCUCUCUAGAACUCUUGCACUAGAGCUUGGAGAAGAAGAAGAAGAAGCAAGGGAAGGUGGAUUUGGAGGCUUUGGUGGGUUCUACAAGCUCUCCUACAAGAAGGACUUGGAGGAGCUUGGGCUAAGGUAAGUUUUUGGUAUAAAUGAGUCUAGGGCUUGGUUUUGAUCCUUAAGAUUUGGAGUUUUGGGUUGUUUUUUAGCCUUGGGAGCCUUCUAUAGACCUUGAACUCCAUGGAAACCAUGAGAGCUCAAGUGCUCUCAUGGUGGAUGGCUAGGGUUCACCAUAGGAGCCCUAGGGUUAGUUCUAAAGGUCUAGAAACCUUACUAGGAUGCUUCUUAGAUGAUCCUAAGCUAUUGUUUGCUUAGGGUCGAGAUCGAUUCAUAGGGGAAUCCUAAAUGACAUUGUUAGGGCUUGGAAAUUGGGGCUUUUGCCCUAGGAUUUUUCGGGGACGAAUUAACCCGGUAGAAACCUAAUUGGGGGUGCCCUAGACGCGUGGGACAACUCCGUUUAACAUUACGAAAAUGUUAGAGCAUAGUCCAUGUACAAAAAGGGCCUAAUAUGGCGCUAUUUUCGUUGUAGGGCGCGGAAUCGGCUUUCGUAAAGUUCGGGAGUCGUCACAUUCUACACCCACACGAUCAUUAGAGGUGGGGGGUGCACGCCGGAAUCGUUGGAUUCCCUUCUAUGUCUAUUUCUCUAUUCUUGAACAUAUGGUUGUAUAGUCACUCAUGCAUAUUAGGGUUAAUUUAUAUGUGAACUUUGGUUGUUUCAUUAUGUUUCUUCAAAUGUAUUGGAAAGUAGAAAGAUAUGGGACCAUGAUGGACAUGUACUGUUGAACCCGAGAGAUUGCAUGAUUGUGAGACUUGGUCUUGGCAAUAGAAAAUGACUAUGACAUUGACAAUAGAGAGAUAGAUUGGCAUUGACAAGUAAGUGUUAAAUAUAGGUUUAACCAUAGUGAUAUUGGGACAAAAUGAUUAGCGAGUGACAUGAACAAAUGGGUUGAGAACCUAGCAAAAAAAAAAAAGUGGCAUAGUAACUAAUGGCUAAGCAUCCUCAAGUUGGGGAUUCGAUCGAUACUCAUGAUACGUCUUGGCUUGAGGGCGGUAGCUCCCCCUCAAGCGGUGAGUUUCCGGAAAUAGUCACCUUGGGAGCGAGGUCCCUUACGACGGUCCCUAGGGGUGGUUUGAGGCCCCCUGUUAUGACGGGAUUUGGGUUAUGAGUUAUUAGGGUUAACAGAGUUAACCGGCAAGAUUGGGUAAGAGCCAAAGCUUAUUUAUGAUUGGAGCAUACAUGCAUUUCCAUUAUCGCAUUGAUUAUGUAUAUCCGCUGACUUAUUUCUUGCAGGCAUAGUAUUAGUUGCAUUAGUAUUGGUUACUUUUCUUUCCUUGAAAUACUUAUGCCUGGAUAGACCUAGUGGGUAAGUCGGCGAGGUCGGAUGCCGAGCCCACUGGAAACUUUGUUUAAUUCUCACACCACUAACCCUACAGGUCUUAGCACGAGCGGGGCGGCGGAGGACCGAGGCAAGGGUUUAGCGCCGUAGAUAGCGGCCACCGAGACUAUUUUAUAUUUUGUAGUCAUUCCCUUUUGUAUGUAUGUAAUCAACUUCUUGUUGAUUUAGCAAGUUGUAAAGUGGAAAACAUUAUGUAAUUUGGUGAAUGGCUAAAUGUAAGGAAUCAUGAAUGAAAUGUAAUAGUCUAGUGUACUUUUAUUUGAUGCUAAUGCAAUCAAGUAGUAUGUAUGGUUGUAUGCAAUAGCUUAGAGCUUCCGCUUCCGUUGUUGCUUGCCCUCGUGGAAGCCUUGUAUUAUAUAUGCAAAUCUCUUGUUGAUUGCUUAUUUAUACAUGCUGUUAGAGCCUUGGGUGGACAGGGGAGACUCUGUCCGUUCGGCGUCUGUUGACGUGACCCGAACCCGACUAAAUUGGCGGGGAUUGGGGCGUGACAAAUAAACCCUCGAACAAAAACAAUUAGAAGUAAAAGGUUGCAGGAGAAUUAAACAAAUGAAAACUAAAAUGAAUCCGAGAAACUCGACAAAACCGCAUCAGCAAACAUAGAUUACCAACUCAACCGUAAAAAUGUUGAUCAAAUCACCAGAGACAAACUCAUUAAACUACCUUUCCAAUUGCCAAUGACAAGAGAAACAUUCUGUAGCUUGUUUAUUUAUACUCUUGACUAUUUCAAUUGAUGAUGAAGCAAUACAUUCCAAUGAUAGCACGAAAAACUUAAGCGCAAUUUCGAUAACACCUAACAAGAUGUUUACAGUAGCCCUAGAAACACAGAGCUAGACAACAACUACAAUAAUAGAAAGGAGCAAAAAAAAAAAAAAAAAAAAAAANGCUCUUGGCCCACAUUUUGUUUGAUCAGCUUAUAAGAAUCAUCAUGCAUCUCACAGCUACAGAAGUAAAUCUUAAAAUUAACUUCAUGUCAAUCAGAAGAAAUUUUACUUAACUGUUUAUCCAUGAGAACAAUUUAAAUGCUGCUAAGUGGGCAUAAAGAACCUACAAUAUCAUUCUUGGAUCUAGAAGCGAUUUGUGAGGAACAGUAGUAUACACUUAAGUUUGAGCUUUGUCAAACAAAGGGAUUUAGCAAUAUGAGAUUAACCCAACCAACUUCAUCUCAUUCUUACUUCAGCGGCAUAAAUAUCAUAUAAUUAAUCAGUCAUUGAGCAUGAAGAAGUAUCAUAUAUCACAUAAAAGUUAAGAUUACAUACUAUUCCAUGCCCAAGAAAAUGUGCUCCAAAUCCUGGAAGCACAGAACCUCGGGCCGCAAAAGAGUUCAGAUGUUAAAAUUCUCUCAACAUCACGGAAAGAUUCAACAAUUGCAUAGUGCUAAACUUGCUCUUGUAGACAUGACAAAAUAAGCCCAGUAAAGGUUCAACAAAUACAAGGAUUCAAAACCAAUUCAGAGGGCUUUCCAGGUUAGAGUAACUAAAAUGUAAGCAACCUGGCAAUGUUAAAGUAGCGUAAAAUAAUUAGAGUAACUAAAAUUUCAAAUUUAAAAAAAACAGGCGACGUGGCUUAACGACAGAACGUCGCUUUUCAAUGAAGUAUUUUGCAACAUAAAAUUAAAACAAAUUUAGCGAAAAAAUUCCUCCGAAAGAAAAUAAAAUUUAAGCAGCUCGGCAAUGCAAAAAACAGUGUAAAAUAAUAAUUAGGAAAGAGAGGAAAAAAAAGAGAGCAAACAAAAUUUCUGUUUCUCUUGACCAUCCUGUUACUGCUCCACUCUUUUUUUUUCUUUCCUGAAUUUCUUUGUAUGUGCGUGUCUUGGGUUAGGAAAAAUAUAGAGAGAGAGGGAAGAGAGAGGGGAGAGAUGACAGUUUUAAUUGGAAAGUAAAUUCAUGCCCCUUGGACAAGAGGCCAUGUGAGCCCAUAUGUGCGUGUGUGUUGGGAUAGAAAGAAAUGUAUAGAGAGAGAGGGAAGAGAGAGGGGAUCUAAAAUAGGUAAGUACAUGCCUAUGGAUAUAGAGUUCAUGUCGGACCAUGUGAAAGGGAAGAGAGGCCAUGUGAGAGAAAGAUAACUCAUAUGAAAAAAAUGACGACGUGGCUUGACAUAGGGGUGUCGUUUGGUUUCUCCUUUAUUAUAGAGUGUCAGCAGUUCUCGGCGUGUAUCAUGUUGGUUUUUAGAAUUUAAGUUCAUCUCCGAAUUCAAAUAUGUCACGGCUAUUGCAAACAUGGCAUUCAAUUUCCAUACCAACUACGUCGAUCCAGAAUUUUUUUUAGAUAAGAUCGCUCUAUAAUUCAUGGUGGAUAUUCACUUGGGUGUGCUUCUAAUCUCUCCGAGUAUGUAAACUGCCUCUUCACAUUUCUGCAGGAAGAGAAGAGAAGAAAAAAAAAAUAAAAUGUCAACUGUGUUAAAAAAAUUAGAAGACAUAAUAUAAAAUAUUCACAGUAACUAAAACUUUAGAUUUAGAAAAAAAAAUAGGCGAUGUGGCUUAACGAUGGAACACCGUUUUUCGACGAACUCUUUUUCUUCACCAAAAUCAAAACAAAUUUAGUGAAAAAAUUUCAUCCGAAGAAACUAAAAUGUAAGCACCCCGGCGAUGUUAAAGUAACGUAAAAUAAUUAGAGUAACUAAAACUUCAAAUUUAAAAAAAACAGGCAACGCGGCUUCACGACAGAGUGCCGCUUUUCGAUGAAGUCUUUUGCUACAUAAAAUCAAAACAAAUUUAGCGAAAAAAUUCUCCGAAAGAAAACAAAAUUUAAGCACCUCGGCAAUGCAAAAAAUAGUGUAAAAUAAUUAGGAAAGAAGAGGGGGAAAAACGAGAGCAAAUAAAUUUUCUGUUUCUGUUGACCAUACUGUUACUGCUCCACUCUCUUUUUUUUUUUCCUUCCUGAAUUCCUUUGUGUGCGCGUAUCUUUGGUUAGGAAAAAAAAUGUAGAGAAAGAGAGAGGGAAGAGAGAAAUGAGAGAUGACAGUUUUAAUUAAAGAGCAAAUACAUGCCCCAUGGACAAGAGGCCAUGUGAGCGCAUGUGUGCGUGUGUAUUGGAUAGAAAGAAAUCUAGAGAGAGAGCGAAGAGAGAGGGGAUGAAAAAUAUGCAAGUAUAUGGCUUGUAGAUAUAGAGUACAUGUCGGACCAUGUGAAAGGGAAGAGAGGUCAUGUAAGAGAGAGAAAACUCAUAUGAAAAAAUAACGACGUGGCUCAACGUAGGGAUGUCGUUUGGUUUCUCUUUUAUUAUAGAGUGUCAGCAGUUCUCGGCGUGUAUCAUGUUGGUUUUUAGAAUUUAAGUUCAUCUCCGAAUUCAAGUAUGUCACGGCUAUUGCAAACAUGACAUUCAAUUUUCAUACCGGCUGUGUCAAUUCAAAGUUUUUUUUAAAUAAGAUCGCUCUACAAUUCACGGUGGAUAUUCAUUUGGGUGCACUUCUAAACUCCCAAAGUAUGUAAACUUGCCUCUUCACAUUCUGCAGGAAGAGAAGAGAAAAAAAUAAAAUAAAAUGUCAACUGUGUCAAAAAAAUUAAAAGUCACGAUAUAAAUAUUUACAGUUACUAAAACUUUAGAUUUAGAAAAAAAAACAGGCGAUGUGGCUUAACGAUGGAACACCGUUUUUUAACGAACUCUUUUUCUUCACCAAAAUCAAAACAAAUUUAGUGAAAAAUUUCAUCCGAAAAAAUUAAAAUGUAAGCACCCAGCAAUGUUAAAGUAACGUAAAAUAAUUAUAGUAACUAAAACUUCAAAUUUAAAAAAACAGGCGACACGGCUGCAAGACAGAGUGCCACUUUUCGAUGAAGUCUUUUGCUACAUAAAUCAAAACAAAUUUAGCGAAAAAAUUCCUCCGAAAGAAAAUAAAAUUUAAGCUACCCGGCAAUGCAAAAAACAGUGUAAAAAAAUUUGAAAAGAAGAGGGAAAAAAAAAAGAGCAAACAAAUUUUCUGUUUCUCUUGACCACCCUGUUACUGCUCCAGCCUCUUUUUUUUUUUUUUUUUCUUCCUGAAUUCGUUUGCGUGUGCGUGUCUUGGGUUAGGAAAAAAAAUAUAGAGAGAGAGAGGAAAGAGAGAGGGAAGAGAUGACAGUUUUAAUUGGAGAGCAAAUACAUGCUCCCUGGACAAGAGGCCAUGUGAGCCCAUGUGUGCGUGUGUUGGGAUAGAAAGAAAUGUAGAGAGAGAAGUAAGAGAGAGGGGAUGUAAAAUAAGCAAGUACAUGGCCUAUAGAUAUAGUCCAUGUCGGACCGUGUGAAAGGGAAGAGAGGUCAUGUGAGAGAGAGAAAAUUCAUAUGAAAAAAUGACGACGUGACUCGACAGAAGGACGUCGUUUGGUUUCUCCUUUAUUAUAGUGUCAGGACAAGAGGCCAUGUCAGUCCAUGUGUGCGUGUGUUGGAAUAGAAAAAAAAUAUAGAGAGAGAAGAGAGAGGGGAUGUAAAAUAGGUAAGUACAUGAUCUAUGAAUAUAGAGUCCAUGUCGGACCAUAUAAAAGAAAAGAGAGGCCAUGUGAGAGAGAGAAAAUUUAUAUGAGAAAAUGACGACGUGGCUCGACGAGGGACGUUGUUUGCUUUCUCCUUUAGGAUAGAGUUUAAUUAUUUAGCUCUCUUGAUUGGCGAAAGGAAUAGUCAGGGACUCUGAGGUUAGACCGUUAGAUCACUUCCCAGGAAGCUUCUCUUUGUCUCUUUGUUACCAAAUUUUCAAAGCCCUUUGGAAAUUUCCACUACCAGAGACUUAAAACAUUCAUAUUCUCCUCCGAAAGUGCGAGCGUUGCGUACCGAGAUUCUCAACCUCUCUCUUUGUCUCUUUAUUCCCAAAUUUCCAAAGCCCUUUGAAAAUUUGCCACUACCAGGAAACUUUCACUAUCUCCUCCGAAAGAGUGCGCGUUGCGUACCGAGAGAAAGGAAGGAGAGCUCUUGUUCUCAACCUCACCUCAAUUGAGUGGAUUCGAUCAUGGAUGCAAUCCAAUCUGCUGCGGUGUCCGCUGCUGAGGAGGAGUUCAGGCUGCGCUCCUCUUUCGGUGAAGAUCGUGGGAGGCUGGAGAGGACACUGAGGAAGAGCCGGAUCCUGAUCGACAGGGCUGAGCGAUGGAGCUUCAAGGAUGAAAGGCUUGCCCAGCACCUCACACAGCUCAAGGAUGCCGCUUACGAUGCAGAAGACCUCCUCGACGACAUCGACUAUCAGGAUCAGCAGAAAAAGAUCCAGGCCCAGCAAAGCCAGGCAAGUAAACUCUUUCAUAAUUCUCUUAACUAUUUACGUAAUCUGAUAAACGGUGCUGCGAAGAACAUGAGAACUAUCCAAGGAAACUUGGAUACGAUUGCUGCUGAUUUAGAAGGACUUAUGGGCCAACUCGGUUUACAUGGCGAU
rnacentral:lncRNA from 1 species